CGAGGGAUUUUCGGCAAUGGGCGCAAGCCUGACCGAGCAACGCCGCGUGCGGGAUGACGCCCUUCGGGGUGUAAACCGCUUUUCCCAGGGACGAGAAUGACGGUACCUGGGGAAUAAGCCUCGGCUAACUACGUGCCAGCAGCCGCGGUAAGACGUAGGAGGCAAGCGUUGUCCGGAGUUACUGGGCGUAAAGCGCGCGCAGGCGGCCCUGUACGCUGCCGGUGAAAGCUCCCGGCUCACCUGGGAGAGGUUCGGCAGGACGGCAGGGCUGGAGGGCGGUAGAGGGUGGUGGAAUUCCCGGUGUAGUGGUGAAAUGCGUAGAUAUCGGGAGGAACACCCGUAGCGAAGGCGGCCACCUGGGCCGACCCUGACGCUGAGGCGCGAAGGCCAGGGGAGCGAACGGGAUUAGAUACCCCGGUAGUCC
rnacentral:rRNA from 1 species